AUGAUCAUCAUUCUCAACAACCAGACAGUUGACCUCUCAUAAAAUGUCAACAUCACUUAGAAGGGACAUCCACAUUUUAUGAAGGACCCCAGAAGAGUCCUGCAGAGGAACCUCAAUCACAUCAAUGUGAAACUCAGCUUCCUUGGAAAGAAAAACAAGCAGCCCUGGGUUGAUGAAUGGUAGGAAAAAGAAAGAAAUCAGCUAUUUUUGCACUCUAUAUUGUCAUUGACCAAACAUGAUCAAGGAUCUCCACUACAAAAUGAAGUUGCCUGCAUUCACCUUCCCAACAAAGUUAUCAUUCAGGAGACCAGGUGUCCUGCUGACAUUCACAACUUUUUGGAUAAAAAAUAUAUCUGCAGAGUUUGGAUGAGGUCGGGUGUUGCUUGAUAUUUUAAGCCCAGGAAAACAAGUUAAUUCCUAAGUGAAAUGGCAUGGAACUUGUAUCAAGUUCAGCUGCAUUGAUUCAGCAAGCCAUGACA
rnacentral:lncRNA from 1 species